rnacentral:rRNA from 1 species
GACGAAAGCUGGCGGCGUGCUUAACACAUGCAAGUCGAACGGUAAGGCCCUUCGGGGUACACGAGUGGCGAACGGGUGAGUAACACGUGGGUGAUCUGCCCCGCACUUCGGGAUAAGCCUGGGAAACUGGGUCUAAUACCGGAUAGGCCUUCUGGCUUCAUGGUUGGGGGUUGCAAGCUUUUGCGGUGUGGGAUGGGCCCGAGGCCUAUCAGCUUGUUGGUGGGGUAAUGGCCUACCAAGGCGACGACAGGUAGACGGCCUGAGAGGGUGACCGGUAACACUGGGACUGAGAUACGGCCCAGACUCCUACGGGAGGCAGCAGUGGGGAAUAUUGCACAAUGGGCGCAAGCCUGAUGCAGCGACGCCGCGUGAGGGAUGACGGCCUUCGGGUUGUAAACCUCUUUCAGCUAUGACGAAGCGCAAGUGACGGUAGUAGCAGAAGAAGGACCGGCCAACUACGUGCCAGCCGCCGCCGUAA